GGCCAGGCCCUGGGCGAACAAAGCCUGGGCGACACCUGCAGCUCCGACCGACCGCUGCCUCCUCUGCAACGGGGAUGGUUCUGUACAGCUGGAGCCGAUGGGGAAAGCCACUUACUCACAUUUCUUCCUGGAAAUGGAUGGAUGCCCUCAGCCUUCCUAGUCAGUCACACUACUGGGGACACAGGAAUCUUCUGGGCAAACAGCUGCUCAGCCAAGGGGGCUUUGGAUCCAGCAGACUCCCAAAUGGAUGCUCUCUAAACUGCCUGCUCAGGCCACCUCACCAGUGAAUGCCAGGUGACACCAUCCGCUAGGCUUGAGCCUGACCUGUGGAAGAGUGAAGAAAGCUAGCUGACAGCAAACAAGGCUGUCAGCAUAGGAGUAUCUGCCUCUCUCUGCUCUUUACUAUGGGUGUGAUGUGUCCAGAUGUCUCAACUUCCUGCUUCUGACUUCCCUGUAACGAUGGACAUCUCCUGCCUGCAGGUUACUGUCCGGUUUGAGUUCCUGUCCUGACUUCUUUCCAUGAUGAAGAGCCAUACAGAGGUAUAAGCAGAAUAAACCUUUUCCUCUCCAA